UGUUUUCAGAGAACCAUGUAUAAAAGUAAAGAGCUUACUUCUCUUACUGAUAAAAAUUUGGAAAAUGAAGAAAAAUUGGAUAUUUCAAAUAACUUUCUUGAAAAUUUAAAGGGGAUUGAAAAAUCUUCUCUUACUUUAUCGUGGCUAAAUGCGUCCCACAACAAAUUGAAUACAAUAAGCCAUUUAACAUCUUGUAAAAACCUAAA
rnacentral:lncRNA from 1 species